UCAACCUCAAAACAAGAUGUGAGAAAGAGGGUUGGGAAAGCUGACAGAUCUGCUAUGGCAGAGCUUCUAAAGAAGAAAAAGACUGAAGACCAGCGGAACCAUAAAGCACACACAACAAGCAUGACAACAAUUUCCCUGCACUUCCACG
rnacentral:lncRNA from 1 species